rnacentral:rRNA from 1 species
UACAGAGACUGCAAGCGUUAUUCGGAUUCACUGGGCGUAAAGGGUGCGCAGGCGGCCAAGUGUGUGAGGCGCGAAAGCCUGGAGCUUAACUCCAGAAUUGCACCUCAAACUACUUGGCUAGAGCAUUGGAGAGGGUAGCAGAAUUCAUGGUGUAGCAGUGAAAUGCGUAGAUAUCAUGAGGAAUACCAGAGGCGAAGGCGGCUACCUGGACAAUUGCUGACGCUCAGGCACGAAAGCGUGGGGAGCAAAAGGG